UUCAAAUUUCCAAAUCAAUGACUGGCCAGACCUCUCUGCAAAAAGCUAUGCAGUCAUGGUUCUGAUUCUCCCUACAGACAGUGCUAGAAAGUGGCGAGACCAUGAGUUGGAACUUGUUGAAGUUGUUGCAGAUCAGGUUGCUGUUGCUUUGUCACAUGCUGCUAUUCUGGAAGAGUCUAUGCGGGCACGUGAUCAGCUCAUGGAGCAGAAUGGUGCUUUGAAAUCAGCUCGUCAAGAGGCAGAAAUGGCAAUUCAUGCUCGUAAUGAUUUCCUUGCUGUGAUGAACCAUGAAAUGAGGACACCAAUGCAUGCAAUUAUUGCAUUGUCUUCACUUCUUUUAGAGACCGACCUAACUCCAGAACAAAGAGCAAUGAUUGAGACAGUACUAAAGAGUAGUAACCUUUUGGCAACACUUACUAAUGAUGUUUUAGAUCUUUCUAGACUUGAAGAUCGCAGCCUAGAAAUUAGGAUCUUCAAUCUUCAUGAGGUUUUUAAAGAGGUUGUUAAUUUGAUAAAGCCCAUCGCAUCCUUAAAGAAGUUGUCCAUGACUUU
rnacentral:misc_RNA from 1 species